rnacentral:snRNA from 1 species
UAGGCUUCUCAGCCUAUGUGGCUAAGAUCAAGUUUAGUCUCUGUUCUUCUCAGUUUAAUCUUAUCUGUUCUGAGGCAGAAACUAUACCUUCUAGAACACUCGUCUUGCUUUCCUGAAGAAGACUACUGCUUUGAAGAUGGAUUCUACUGUUACUGCUUCAAAAGAAAAUCUU